UACAGGGGGUGCAAACGUUGCUCGGAAUUAUUGGGCGUAAAGCGCGCGUAGGCGGCUACUUAAGUCGGAUGUGAAAGCCCUUGGCUCAACUGAGGAAGUGCACCCGAAACUGAGUGGCUUGAGUACGAAAGAGGGUCGCGGAAUUCCCGGUGUAGAGGUGAAAUUCGUAGAUAGUCGGGAGGAACACCGGUGGCGAAGGCGGCUCUCUGGGACGGUACUGACGCUGAGACGCGAAAGCGUGGGGAGCGAACAGG
rnacentral:rRNA from 1 species